rnacentral:lncRNA from 1 species
AUUCCUCCUCAGAGGGCCAGGGCCCUCAGGACAGAGCCCGGGAGGCUGACCCUGCAACUCCAGAGGCCCCGGGGUUUUCACUUUCACUUCUGCUCCUUUCCCAAUGCCGGCCUCUCCCUCGGACUCAGCACCUGCCCACUGCCUUCCAGUGUUCGCCCAGGUAUACGGGAAGACUCCUCGGGUGCAUGGGACAACCACGGGCACCCGCACACACCAGGACCUCGCACAGCCCGCCCAUCCGCCGCCAGUGCCCCUGGGGACGCCCCGUACGCCCCUCUGGGUGCUGACCGCCAGCACACGCUCGCCUCCUGCAGCAGCAGCCCCCCUGCCAGCUGGUCCUUCGACCUGGGCUCUAGAGGCCCCUGGCUGGCCCUGCUGCGGGGGUGGCCGGCGGAGGGGGCGGGGAGCCCAAGCCCAGCUGCUCUCGCAUCACCCGACUCCCUGAACCUGCUUCCUGGCCGCACAGAUCACGGCCAUGACCACCCCGCGGGGAGGGCACCCCCCUGGCAACAUUGCGCCUUCCCAGCUUGGUCCACAGAGCUGCAGGGGCUGUCCGGGGGGAGGGGCGGGGCUCAGCGCUCACGAGGUCACGGUCGCCCACCCCGUCACACAGCAGGGCCCACGUGCUCACCGCCUCCACGCCAGGCUGCGCCAGUCCUGAGCCUCAGGCCCGGGAGCCCCGUGCUUCCAGCUGGAGCGGCUCCCAGGACCCCCCUCCGGUUCUGGGCCAGCACGCCCUCCACCCUGGGGAUCCAACAACCCCCAGAGAGGCUGCUGCCUCCCGCUCCAUCCAGGCGAAGCAGCAGAGGCCUUGGAGACAGGCCUGAGGGCCAGAGGCUCAGCCCAGGGCCCAAGCAAGUCCUGGGUCCCAGAGGCCUAGCGCCCUGCAAGGGGGGCGUCUGGGCUGGGCGGCCAUGGAGGCCCCAAACUGGGCAGAGGCGGCCCCGGAGGCAGGAGGUGCGGGCAGGGGCGGGCCGCGUCAGGCUUAGCAUCCGGGAAGCCUGGGCCUGCAGGCCCAAGUGGGCAGCCGGGCCUUCUAGAAGGGCAGGCUGGCCGCGGGGCGGGCGAGGGGCAGCGAGCAACCGGACCCGGCCUCGGCCUGAAUUCCUCCGACGUGUCCUCGGCUCCCUCGGCCAGUCCAGGCCCCGCCCCCGGCCCUCCCUGCGACCGGCCGGUGCUCGGGGAGGUCGGAGGAGCGGGCACUGCCCACCCUCCGGAUGUAUAAGCCUCCCGGCCAGGGGCGGGCGGUGCGCGGGUGCGCGUGACGCUCGGUUCCCGGGCUAG